UACGUAGGGUGCAAGCGUUGUCCGGAAUUAUUGGGCGUAAAGAGCUCGUAGGCGGUCUGUUGCGUCGGCUGUGAAAACCCGGGGCUCAACUCCGGGCCUGCAGCCGAUACGGGCAGACUAGAGUUCGGCAGGGGAGACUGGAAUCCUGGUGUAGCGGUGAAAUGCGCAGAUAUCAGGAGGAACACCGGUGGCGAAGGCGGGUCUCUGGGCCGAUACUGACGCUGAGGAGCGAAAGCGUGGGGAGCGAACAGG
rnacentral:rRNA from 1 species